rnacentral:rRNA from 1 species
GACGAACGCUGGCGGCGUGCUUAACACAUGCAAGUCGAGUGGUAAGGCCCUUUCGGGGGUACACGAGCGGCGAACGGGUGAGUAACACGUGGGUGACCUGCCCUCAGCUCUGGGAUAAGCCCGGGAAACUGGGUCUAAUACCGGAUAUGACUUCAUGACGCAUGUUGUGGAGUGGAAAGCCUUGUGCGGCUGAGGAUGGGCCCGCGGCCUAUCAGCUUGUUGGUGGGGUGAGGCCUACCAAGGCGACGACGGGUAGCCGGCCUGAGAGGGCGACCGGCCACACUGGGACUGAGAUACGGCCCAGACUCCUACGGGAGGCAGCAGUGGGGAAUCUUGCGCAAUGGGCGAAAGCCUGACGCAGCGACGCCGCGUGA